GAAAACAGCAACUGCCAGAGUGGAUGAGGUAAUGAGGCAACUGCUGUGACUACGCAGAGUUUCAGCCCAGGAAAAAGCCAUUCUUCGAAUCAUAGAAUCACAGUAUCACAUAAUCAUAGAGGUUGGAAGAAACCUCUAUCAAGUCCAACUCUUUGCUAAUGCAUGUUCACUACAGUUGGAUACACACGAAAGCAUCCAGCUAAAGAGAUUCUAGAAAAUAGAUCUCCCAGCUUCCCUCUUUGAAAAACCAAUGACAAUAAAUCUUGCUAUCCUCCUAACUAUGACUGAUGAAACAGGCAAUUCAACAUCCCGAGAGAAUAACAUGUAAUAGUCAGGUGGGUAUGCAGUUAAAUCAGUACUGAAAUAUAGUGCACACUUCUGUAGGUGGG